UAAAUAUAGCCAUGCCAUGAAAGUGACUGAUUAGGAAUAGUUGAAACACAUCUAUUGUCAGCUUCAACCACUAAUUUCUUACAUGUAAUUCAAAUCAGUCCAUACAUAAAACUUCUACAAGGCAUAAAUAGUGUUUUUACUUGGAAAGAGACAUUUUUUUCCAAAGCUUUUCAAGUUAAUUUUGCAUACUGUUCACUUGGCCAUUAUUUCUGGAUUCCUCACCAUUUUAUACUGUUCUUGGCAAGUGACUAAAAACCACUUAGUAAAAUAAAUAAACUUUAGAUAUAUUUUGUUUUGAAAGCCUUGCCAGGAAUUCAAACCUAUUACUCUUUUUAUAGAAGUCUUUGUGCUAAAUAUGUACUGAGCUAACUGCCCAGGGCAUUUUUAUCUCACAUUUCAGCCUUUUUCAGUAUUUUUUUCAUUUUACAGAUCAAACACUGAGGAUUGUUUGGCUUGAUGCAAUGACCUUAAACAGUGAAAUGAUUUUCCAGGAUGGUCUAUACACAACAAGCUGGAUUUUAUGGGGUGAUGAAAGAACUAUGAAUAUGUAAAUGGGAAUGAAACAGAAGGAAUUAAUGUGUUCUACAGAUCAUCCAGCUGAAAUCAUGCCUGUGGAAUAGAGUGCAUGUCACAAAUACUGAUAUGAGCAAAUAACUCCAUAUUGCACAAAUAAUGUCAUGUUUCCUGCCCUCAUGACCUGAAAAAGUUAAAAAUUCUAGUUCAAAUUACAAAUGUGUUUCAAGAAAAAGUAAAACUUAGUCAACUGUGAGAAAUAUUGGGUAAAAGUAGUGUUUUGAUGUCAUGACAGCUGUUAAGUUGUUUGAGAAGCACUAUCCUAAUUGUUCUAACAAUAGAGAAUUUAACUUAUAAAUUUUCCAAAAACAGCAUGCAUGAAAUACUAA